AAGUCGAGCGAACAGACGAGGAGCUUGCUCCUCUGACGUUAGCGGCGGACGGGUGAGUAACACGUGGAUAACCUACCUAUAAGACUGGGAUAACUUCGGGAAACCGGAGCUAAUACCGGAUAAUAUAUUGAACCGCAUGGUUCAAUAGUGAAAGACGGUUUUGCUGUCACUUAUAGAUGGAUCCGCGCCGCAUUAGCUAGUUGGUAAGGUAACGGCUUACCAAGGCAACGAUGCGUAGCCGACCUGAGAGGGUGAUCGGCCACACUGGAACUGAGACACGGCCCAGACUCCUACGGGAGGCAGCAGUAGGGAAUCUUCCGCAAUGGGCGAAAGCCUGACGGAGCAACGCCGCGUGAGUCGAUGAAGGUCUUCGGAUCGUAGAACUCUGUUAUUAGGGAAGAACAAAUGUGUAAGUAACUAUGCACGUCUUGACGGUACCUAAUCAGAAAGCCACGGCUAACUACGUGCCAGCAGCCGCGGUAAUACGUAGGUGGCAAGCGUUAUCCGGAAUUAUUGGGCGUAAAGCGCGCGUAGGCGGUUUUUUAAGUCUGAUGUGAAAGCCCACGGCUCAACCGUGGAGGGUCACUUGGAAACUGGAAUACUUGAGUGCAGAAGAGGAAAGUGGAAUUCCAUGUGUAGCGGUGAAAUGCGCAGUAGAUAUGGAGGAACACCAGUGGCGAAGGCGACUUUCUGGUCUGUAAC
rnacentral:rRNA from 1 species